rnacentral:rRNA from 1 species
GACGAACGCUGGCGGCGUGCUUAACACAUGCAAGUCGAACGAUGAAGCCUAGCUUGCUAGGUGGAUUAGUGGCGAACGGGUGAGUAAUACGUGAGUGACCUACCUUUGACUCUGGGAUAAGCCUGGGAAACUGGGUCUAAUACCGGAUACGACCAAUCUCCGCAUGGGGUGUUGGUGGAAAGCGUUAUGGAGUGGUUUUAGAUGGGCUCACGGCCUAUCAGCUUGUUGGUGAGGUAAUGGCUUACCAAGGCGACGACGGGUAGCCGGCCUGAGAGGGUGACCGGCCGCACUGGGACUGAGACACGGCCCAGACUCCUACGGGAGGCAGCAGUGGGGAAUAUUGCACAAUGGGCGCAAAGCCCUGAUGCAAGCG